rnacentral:rRNA from 1 species
CGGCGGACGGGUGAGUAACACGUGGGUAACCUACCUAUAAGACUGGGACAACUUCGGGAAACCGGAGCUAAUACCGGAUAAGAUAUCGAACCGCAUGGUUCGAUAGUGAAAGANGGUUUUGCUAUCACUUAUAGAUGGACCCGCGCCGUAUUAGCUAGUUGGUGAGGUAACGGCUCACCAAGGCAACGAUACGUAGCCGACCUGAGAGGGUGAUCGGCCACACUGGAACUGAGACACGGUCCAGACUCCUACGGGAGGCAGCAGCG